rnacentral:rRNA from 1 species
UACGGGGGGGGCAAGCGUUGUUCGGAAUUACUGGGCGUAAAGGGCUCGUAGGCGGCCAACUAAGUCAGACGUGAAAUCCCUCGGCUUAACCGGGGAACUGCAUCUGAUACCGGAUGGCUUGAGUUCGGGAGAGGGAUGUGGAAUUCCAGGUGUAGCGGUGAAAUGCGUAGAUAUCUGGAGGAACACCGGUGGCGAAGGCGGCAUCCUGGACCGACACUGACGCUGAGGAGCGAAAGCCAGGGGAGCAAACGGG